rnacentral:rRNA from 1 species
UACGUAGGGGGCAAGCGUUGUCCGGAAUCAUUGGGCGUAAAGCGCGCGUAGGCGGCCCGGUAAGUCCGCUGUGAAAGUCCAGGGCUCAACCCUGGGAUGCCGGUGGAUACUGUCGGGCUCGAGUCCGGAAGAGGCGAGUGGAAUUCCUGGUGUAGCGGUGAAAUGCGCAGAUAUCAGGAGGAACACCGAUGGCGAAGGCAGCUCGCUGGGACGUGACUGACGCUGAGACGCGAAAGCGUGGGGAGCAAACAGG